rnacentral:rRNA from 1 species
CCUACGGGCGGCUGCAGUGGGGAAUAUUGCACAAUGGGCGCAAGCCUGAUGCAGCCAUGCCGCGUGUGUGAAGAAGGCCUUCGGGUUGUAAAGCACUUUCAGCGGGGAGGAAGGCGGUGAGGUUAAUAACCUCAUCGAUUGACGUUACCCGCAGAAGAAGCACCGGCUAACUCCGUGCCAGCAGCCGCGGUAAUACGGAGGGUGCAAGCGUUAAUCGGAAUUACUAGGCGUAAAGCGCACGCAGGCGGUCUGUCAAGUCGGAUGUGAAAUCCCCGGGCUCAACCUGGGAACUGCAUUCGAAACUGGCAGGCUAGAGUCUUGUAGAGGGGGGUAGAAUUCCAGGUGUAGCGGUGAAAUGCGUAGAGAUCUGGAGGAAUACCGGUGGCGAAGGCGGCCCCCUGGACAAAGACUGACGCUCAGGUGCGAAAGCGUGGGGAGCAAACAGGAUUAGAUACCCGUGUAGUC